CGCCUAACACAUGCAAGUCGAACGCAGUAGCAAUACUGAGUGGCAAACGGGUGAGUAUAAUGUGGGAAUCUGCCUUUUGGUUUGGAAUAACACGGGGAAACUUGUGCUAAUACCGAAUAAGCCUUUACAGGGAAAGUUUUAACGCCGAAAGAUGAGCCCGCACUUGAUUAGCUAGUUGGUAAGGUAAAAGCUUACCAAGGCAACGAUCAAUAGCUGUUCUUAGAGGAAGACCAGCCACAUUGGGACUGAGACACGGCCCAGACUCCUACGGGAGGCAGCAGUGGGGAAUCUUGCACAAUGGGGGAAACCCUGAUGCAGCGAUGCCGCGUGAGUGAAGAAGGCCCUUGGGUUGUAAAACUCUUUCGUCGGGGAAGAAAAUGACUGUACCCGAAUAAGAAGGUCCGGCUAACUUCGUGCCAGCAGCCGCGGUAAUACGAAGGGACCUAGCGUAGUUCGGAAUUACUGGGCUUAAAGAGCUCGUAGGUGGUUAAAAAAGUUGAUGGUGAAAUCCCAAGGCUCAACCUUGGAACUGCCAUCAAAACUUUUUAGCUAGAGUGUGAUAGAGGUAAGUGGAAUUUCUAGUGUAGAGGUGAAAUUCGUAGAUAUUAGAAAGAACACCAAAUGCGAAGGCAACUUACUGGGUCACUACUGACACUGAGGAGCGAAAGCAUGGGUAGCGAAGAGGAUUAGAUACCCUCGUAGUCCAUGCCGUAAACGAUGUGUGCUAGACGUUGGAAAUAUAUUUUUCAGUGUCGCAGCGAAAGCAUUAAGCACACCGCCUGGGGAGUACG
rnacentral:rRNA from 1 species